CAGUAGCCACGGGAAUACGGAGGGUGCAAGCGUUAAUCGGAAUUACUGGGCGUAUAGCGCACGCAGGCGGUCUGUCAAGUCAGAUGUGAAAUCCCCGGGCUUAACCUGGGAACUGCAUUUGAAACUGGCAGGCUAGAGUCUUGUAGAGGGGGGUAGAAUUCCAGGUGUAGCGGUGAAAUGCGUAGAGAUCUGGAGGAAUACCGGUGGCGAAGGCGGCCCCCUGGACAAAGACUGACGCUCAGGUGCGAAAGCGUGGGGAGCAAACAGGAUUAGAUACCCGGGUAGUCCCUGUCUCUUAUAC
rnacentral:rRNA from 1 species